ACGAACGCUGGCGGCGUGCUUAACCCCUGCAAGUCGAACGGAAAGGCCCUGCUUUUGUGGGGUGCUCGAGUGGCGAACGGGUGAGUAACACGUGAGUAACCUGCCCUUGACUUUGGGAUAACUUCAGGAAACUGGGGCUAAUACCGGAUAGGAGCUCCUGCUGCAUGGUGGGGGUUGGAAAGUUUCGGCGGUUGGGGAUGGACUCGCGGCUUAUCAGCUUGUUGGUGGGGUAGUGGCUUACCAAGGCUUUGACGGGUGGCCGGCCUGAGAGGGUGACCGGCCACAUUGGGACUGAGAUACGGCCCAGACUCCUACGGGAGGCAGGAGUGGGGAAUAUUGCACAAUGGGCGGAAGCAUGAUGCAGCAACGCCGCGUGCGGGAAGACGGCCUUCGGGUUGUAAACCGCUUUCGCCUGUGACGAAGCGUGAGUGACGGUAAUGGGUAAAGAAGCACCGCCUAACUACGU
rnacentral:rRNA from 1 species